rnacentral:rRNA from 1 species
AAAGUUUGAUCCUGGCUCAGGACGAGCGCUGGCGGCGUGCCUAAUACAUGCAAGUCGAACGAAGCUUUCUUUCACCGAAUGCUUGCAUUCACCGAAAGAAGCUUAGUGGCGAACGGGUGAGUAACACGUAGGCAACCUGCCCAAAAGAGGGGGAUAACACUUGGAAACAGGUGCUAAUACCGCAUAACCAUGAACACCGCAUGAUGUUCGUGUAAAAGACGGCUUUUGCUGUCACUUUUGGAUGGGCCUGCGGCGUAUUAACUUGUUGGUGGGGUAACGGCCUACCAAGGUGAUGAUACGUAGCCGAACUGAGAGGUUGAUCGGCCACAUUGGGACUGAGACACGGCCCAAACUCCUACGGGAGGCAGCAGUAGGGAAUCUUCCACAAUGGACGAAAGUCUGAUGGAGCAACGCCGCGUGAAUGAAGAAGGCCUUCGGGUCGUAAAAUUCUGUUGUCAGAGAAGAAUGUGCGUGAGAGUAACUGUUCACGUAUUGACGGUAUCUGACCAGAAAGCCACGGCUAACUACGUGCCAGCAGCCGCGGUAAUACGUAGGUGGCAAGCGUUGUCCGGAUUUAUUGGGCGUAAAGGGAACGCAGGCGGUCUUUUAAGUCUGAUGUGAAAGCCUUCGGCUUAACCGAAGUAGUGCAUUGGAAACUGGAAGACUUGAGUGCAGAAGAGGAGAGUGGAACUCCAUGUGUAGCGGUGAAAUGCGUAGAUAUAUGGAAGAACACCAGUGGCGAAAGCGGCUCUCUGGUCUGUAACUGACGCUGAGGUUCGAAAGCGUGGGUAGCAAACAGGAUUAGAUACCCUGGUAGUCCACGCCGUAAACGAUGAGUGCUAAGUGUUGGAGGGUUUCCGCCCUUCAGUGCUGCAGCUAACGCAUUAAGCACUCCGCCUGGGGAGUACGGUCGCAAGACUGAAACUCAAAGGAAUUGACGGGGGCCCGCACAAGCGGUGGAGCAUGUGGUUUAGUUCGAAGCAACGCGAAGAACCUUACCAGGUCUUGACAUCUUCUGACAAUUCCAGAGAUGGAACGUUCCCUUCGGGGACAGAAUGACAGGUGGUGCAUGGUUGUCGUCAGCUCGUGUCGUGAGAUGUUGGGUUAAGUCCCGCAACGAGCGCAACCCUUAUUGUCAGUUGCCAUCAUUAAGUUGGGCACUCUGGCGAGACUGCCGGUGACAAACCGGAGGAAGGUGGGGAUGACGUCAAAUCAUCAUGCCCCUUAUGACCUGGGCUACACACGUGCUACAAUGGACGGUACAACGAGUCGCUAACUCGCGAGGGCAAGCUAAUCUCUUAAAGCCGUUCUCAGUUCGGAUUGCAGGCUGCAACUCGCCUGCAUGAAGUCGGAAUCGCUAGUAAUCGCGAAUCAGCAUGUCGCGGUGAAUACGUUCCCGGGCCUUGUACACACCGCCCGUCACACCAUGAGAGUUUGUAACACCCAAAGUCGGUGGGGUAACCUUUUGGAGCCAGCCGCCUAAGGUGGGACAGAUGAUUGGGGUGAAGUCGAAACAAGGUA